rnacentral:rRNA from 1 species
UACGGGGGGAGCAAGCGUUGUUCGGAUUUACUGGGCGUAAAGGCGCGUAGGCGGCCACCGCAAGUCGGUUGUGAAAUCUCCGGGCUUAACCCGGAAAGGUCAACCGAUACUGCGGGGCUAGAGUGCAGAAGGGGCAACUGGAAUUCUCGGUGUAGCGGUGAAAUGCGUAGAUAUCGAGAGGAACACCUGCGGCGAAGGCGGGUUGCUGGGCUGACACUGACGCUGAUGCGCGAAAGCUAGGGGAGCGAACGGG